AAAAAAAAAAAAAAAAAAAAAUUGGACCACAUACUUGAAUCUUUCAAGUAGCCCUCAUGGCCCUCUUCCAAGUGUACUUUACUUCCUAUCAGUCCUGUCUAAAACUUUUUAAUACAUUUUCAUUUCUGCUCUAAAACUUGCCUUGGUCUCUCACUUUGCUUUAUGCCCCUCAGUCAGAUUCAUUUUUCUGAGGAGGAAAGAAUUGAGGUUGCUGCAGACUCCUACAGACUCACCACUGCUAACAUACUUUGGUGUUGCAUGACUUGGAUGUAUUUCCUGGUGGUAAGAUACCUCUAUGCCUCACCUUCUUCAGCUGGAGCAUGCACACCAAGAGGCAAAAUGGUGAAGUUCACCGGUAUAUGACCUUCCUCUAGGAAUACUCAACGGGUAAGGGAAGAACACCUCAAGUGAGAUGUGCACAACUUCAGUAACACACACGCAUGUGGACAGGCCACCCCAAAGAAAGAAUCAGGGAAGAAGAGAUGUAACCCCUUCCACCUGGAAGCAUGCCCAUUCAUAAAACCCAAGUCAAAGGUCAAACCACACACUUGAAUCUCUCAAGUUGCCCAUACAUGUCUGGAGGCAUUCAACCCUUGUAUGCAGUUUCAUUCUCCCUAGUCACUCUCCUGCUUACUAACCAACCCCCAGAAUGAUUCCUCUCAACCCCAGUGGCUCUGCUUCCCCCAGCUGAUCUCUCAGCUCACUCUGAUGGGUGGCUCACAAGGGUGGGAAUGACCUUGGAAUCUGCACCAAGUAGACCGGAGACACUAAUGGCCCUCCUGUACAGGAGGCUUGUACAAAUGACAGAGCUAAAGCCUAAAACUGUUCAAUGUGUGGGGUUUCCCCUUGCUUUUUCAGCUGAAAUCAGCUCUUUCCCAAAAACCUGCCUUGCCUAUUCUCUUGUUUUCUCUGAAUAUAUUCCGAAAUGGCCUUGCACACCCACCAGACUGUCCACCUCAGGGGCAAGUCUGCCUUUUCUGUUUUCACUUCGCAUGCUGCAUGACUUCCUUCUCUGCCCUAAAAACACUCUCUGUUAUGCUUGCGCUUAUGGCUCUUGCUGCAUUUGCAUGGCAGCAAAGACGUGGGCUCCCUUGCAGAUAUCCCCUGAGACUUGUACUAUUUUUACCCUAGCUCAGAUGACCUCCAACCCUUCACCUGUCUGCUGGCAUAUUGCUGGGACAGAUACUCAUCAGAAGCCCAGCUCUGCCAGCUCCUUAUGACUUACUUACCAUAUGUUUUUUGUUCUGUUACACAUCAGGGCUGAGUUCUCCUGCGGCUUUCGAAGCAGUUUGUAUGACUGAAUAGGGCCUCACUCUGGGUCCUUUGAGGACCCCCACCUGGAUUUUUUGAGUUAGCACCCACUCCUUUGGGAGAAGGGGUAUUCUUCCUUUGCCAUUUGUGAGCCCUUAUCCCAGGGCCUAAGUCCUCUGGAGGUUCCUUCUUGAUGUCAACAGGGUAAAUAAAUGUUACCCUCUGGAAUCCAAGGGCUGCUAUUUUUAUAAGUAUAUGAAGGCUUUUCAUGAGCAUUCCUCUUGCUUCCUCCCACUUCCUCCUGUAGCCUCUAUUUCUCUAAUCAAUUCCACGCCCUUCUCAUUAUGCAUCAAGAUCUUCAAGAUCAUAUUCAAAGGGAGGGAAGUCCAUGCCUCUUGCAGCAGUUAGCUGAGAAACAGGCUUCUUGUUUACCCAAAGAACAUGAGAAAUGGGAAUCUGAGAAAAGAGAUAAUCAUUUUGUUGCAAGAAUGCUCCAUGUGAGAGUCACUGUAAUGUCAUGAAGAUAAGGAUAUAGGCUGGCCUAAGGCUUCAGGUACAAGAGACCUAUAGGACAGAGAUGAAGUUUGAGCCCAGGCUAACAGAUUACUAUUUGAACAGAGAUGGAGGCAAGAUUAGGGGUAUAUGGCAAUACCAGUUCAUUCCAGAACCCCAAUGAUGAAUAGGGGCCUUCCUGUUCACUCCAGUAUCUCCUCUGUUCUCAGGUGGGUAAUUGUGACGAGAUGGGACCUAGGUUAAGUACAUGGUAAGAUCAGUUCAUUCUAUAACCCUAAGGAUGAAUGGGGGAUGCCCUGUUCAGGAUCAUAGGAAAGUAAGAGGGAAUGUCAUCUUCUCCUUUUUCCUUUUUUUCUCUUCUGUUCUCUUUUUUUGCAGAUGGAUAACCAUGUCUCCCUGCCACAGGUAAUGCCCCUUGGGUGCAUCCUGAAGAACUGGGAAAAGUUUGAUCCCCAAAGUCUUAAAAAACUAGGUUUCCUUUGUAAUACUGUUUGGCCUAAAAAUUAACAGGGAGAAAAUUAUAGUCAGCCUUAGAAUUUAGUGUUGGAAAUCCUCAAAUUAGCCUCCUCAGUCUUUUAUAACCAAGAUCAGGAAAAGCAGAACAGGGCUAAGAAAAAGGAGAAAUGCAGGAACAAGAGGAAGGCUCAACUAUUGGCUUCUCUGCAAACCUACCAACCCCCUCCAGGUUGGCCUCAGAAUACCCUCCCAGGUAACUGCCAUCAGUGCAGGAAGCCAAGCCACUGGAAAGCAAACUGCCCCAGUGGGAUAAAUGGGAGAAAGGCCCACAAGGCUUGCCCCCUGUGCCACAAGCUUGGACAUAGAAAUCAGCACUGUCCUGAAGGCUGAAUGUUCUCCAGGACAGAAUCCCAACCCCUGGUGGCCUUGAGCUGAAGGUGCUCUGCACUCCAGCAGGCUUCCAAAUCAGACAUUGUCAUUAACAGGACAAGGGCAACUCUGGAGUCAGCAAGUAAUAUGAUAAAUUUCCCUUUUGGGCUCAUGUGCUACUUAAUCUUUGCUAAUCUCCUUCUCUAAGCAACUCUCCUCCAAAUCCUAUUGGGUAAUGGGGGCAAAUGUCAUACCUUCCCUUCAAAAAAAAGAUUCACACCCCCUUUAUAUUACUUAAGGGACCAAUUAACAUUCUCCCACCAGUCCCUGGUAAAGUCUAUACACACCUCUUUGAGGCAAAAAUAUACUUUCAAGAUGGAUACCUACUUAACAUUUACCCAACAUUUGAAUUCAUCUUUCCUUCUAAUAGUCCUAUUUGUCCUGGGAAAGCUACCUAAAUCUUUAACCAAUAACUUCAGCCUAGACAGUCCUACCUCAAGGGUUUAGAAAUAGCCCACACUUGUUCAGACAAACUCUAGCAAAACUAACUGAACAAUCUUUUGAGAGGGGGAUAACUUUCACAGUAUACACACAACCUCCUCAUCUGCACCCCCUUCACAGGACUCACACAGCAACAUGCAAUACAAAUCUUGACUUUCUAACAGAAGGAAAAUGACUUGUCUAAUCCAGAGGUUAUAAAGGUAAAGAGAUAGUUUUGGUAAGGAAGGUUAUAAAGAAAAUCGAUAUAAUAUUAAAAUGAUAAGUUCUUGUCCUAAAGUAAAAAUGACUGUUUUUUAAAAAAAGAGAGAUGUUUAGAAUAAGAAAGUCCAAGUAUGCCAUAGAUAGUAAUAAAAAGGUUUGUGAAAAGGAAUUUAUAAAGUAAAUGUUAUACAAUUUUAAAGGUUAUUAGUUCUACUAACUGCUUUACGGUCAUAAACUGCUACUAUGACUCUUAACUGUACAACUCGCCUGCUUUAAAGCUAGGUAAGACCUAAGAACAUACAGAGUUAGCCAUGCCCCUUAGCUAUGCUGGAAAGAGUCAGAGUUUAUCUGCACUUUAUCUGGUGUCCUUGGCUCCAAACCUAGUACAUAAUUAGAAUUAUUUACUUACCAAGUUUUCACCAAAAGUUAAAUUGGUUAAGAGUUAACAGUGUAACAUGUACUUGAGGCUACUGGAAAAACAGUUUUACAUGCAAGGCAUGUAAGGAAAGUAGACUGUGCUUUUGGCAAAAGAUAAUAAAAAGGCAUGGAAUAUAAAUUUUUUGGCCUAGUUUAGAGGGUUAAAGGAUUGUUUUAAGUUAGAUAGGAUAAAGCUGAAGAUUUGAGGAAGUUGUGAAAGAUUUAUAAAAGAUUAAUCUUCUAAAAGAAAUUAUGUGUGUGAACAUACUAGCUAAAAUUAAAGGAGCAUUAUGUAGCCUAUCCAUAAAUUGAACAUUGAAAUAAAAGCACAACUUGAUUUUUCUUAAAGCAUUAUUCUACUCUUUAACAUAAAAUUGUAAGAGGCUUAUGAGAAUCUUACCUUAUGGUCAAACUGGUUAAGAUUGGAUAGAUUUCUCUAUAAGAUUUUAUUAAGAACUGGGUUUGACAUCAAUAGUACACGAAUGCAAAGGUAAAAUUUGGCUUUCUUAGGAUUGUAUUGGUAUAAAUGUGUUAUUGGUAUACAUUCCAAAAUUAUGAAAAACUCCUAUAAUUCUGAUAUGACUUAGUAUACAUUACCAAUAAUAAUUAUAAUUGUCAAUGUUAAAUUAUUAUGUGAUACCGAGGUAACAAAUUUCCUUGUCAAUUUUAUCUUUGACUAUGGCUACCCUAAGACUUUUUGUCAUCCAUGAACAAUUGUGAUGUUUUCAUCCUCUUUAAAAGCUGGUUUUCUAAUCAGCUAUAGGACUCGAACAGGUACUCUUAAAUGCAGGUUUCUGAUAAUUUUGGAGACUGUGACAUCAGAAUAGGGGAAAAAUUUUCAGGACCCUCAUGGAGAGCUGAAAUGUUUAUGACUAUCAAGACUAAAUAAUAGAAGACUAAAAUAACACUUUCAUGAAUUUUUGCUUAAAAUGUUGGUAAUCCUUUGUUUUUCAAAACCAAGAAAACUUUUCUUUUGAGCUUUUUACAGCUUUUAACAAUAGAGUAAAGUGUACUCCUAUAAACAAAAUUUGGAGAAAUUUCUCCAAAAUUUGGAAACUAUUUAUGAGUAUUCUUAACUUAUGGCAAUAUAGUUAUUUGCAUAAGUGCAGAAAGAAUCUGUUUUCUUUUGUGGCAGGACACAGUUGGAGACACUGGUUAUUUUACCAAGGCUUUAAGUGGAAUGACAUGCUUUCCAUUAAAGAAUCAAAUUUGACUUAUAGCGCCAAUAAAGCCCCUUGGGAAAACUGGCCUCAUACCUUGCCUAUACACUCCCUGUGCAGAAUUCCUGACUCGUGGCCAUCAAGCUCUAGAUGAUCCUCAGUGAGGGAUGCCAUACUCUCAAUAUUCAAGAGUCAUUCUUCUACAGAGAAUUCCUAGACUGCCCAUCAGAGGAACAUGACAAAGGUGAAAUCCUGCCCUUGUCUGCGUUGGACCUGAAUGGAUACCACUUCCACCAACCUACAGAGCCACCCUGCCCUGACACCUAGCAAGAGGCCAAGACCCACAAAACAACCACCACUAUCCCUCCAUCACCAGGAAGCAAUUACAGAAAAGUGAUCUUUAUCCAUUUUCCCCAAAGCACUGGGGUCUUGGACUCUUGAAAAGGGAAAUGUUUCAUUAGGUAGGUAGUCAGACAUGAGCAGGGCAAGGGAGUCCUCUCCCUACCAGGAAUGUCAGGUGAUCAUCAGGUGAUAGUCAGGUGAUUGUUAAACUGUUUUUCCAGAAUAAUAAUUGGUUGCAGCUGGAGCCAGGGAAAGGCAGUUUCCCAAUAGAUAGAAAACACAUGAAGCUGCUGAUUGGCAGCUUCUGAUAAGAUCUCAGGAGCUGGACAAGUGGACUUAAGCAUGCACACUAACAGGCAAAAUUGCAGAGCUAACCUGGUAUAUGACUUUCCUCUAGGAACACUCAACUCGUGAAGGAAGAACACCUCAAGUGAGCAUGCACACAAGUUUAUUAAAUGCACUGUGCAUAUGGUCCCUCCCAAGUGCUGCCAGGCCAGACUGCCCAGCCCAGAGGAAGAAUCAGGGGAGAAAAGAUGUGACCCCCUGAAAGCAUGCCAAUGUAUAAAACUCCAAGUCAAAGGUCAAACCAUGCACUUGAGUCUCUCAAGUUGCCUGUGUGGCCCUCUUAUAAGUGUACUUUAUUUCCUAUUGUUCUUGCUCUAACAUAAACUUUCACUUCUGCUCUAAAAC